CGGGGAUGACGUCAAAUCAGCACGGCCCUUAUGUCCAGGGCUACACACGUGUUACAAUGGCCGGUACAGAGGGCAGCUACCUGUUGACAGGAUGCGAAUCUCCAAAGCCGGUCUCAGUUCGGAUCGGAGUCUGCAACUCGACUCCGUGAAGCUGGAUUCGCUAGUAAUCGCGCAUCAGCCAUGGCGCGGUGAAUACGUUCCCGGGCCUU
rnacentral:rRNA from 1 species